UGUUCUGGAGGCGUCUGCUCUACUCUGUUCUCCUCGUUCUCGCAGACUCGCGUCUCACUGCCCGCCGGUCUCGCAGUGCACUCCAUGCCUGGCAGACAGAAUGGAGCUAAGUUCAACGUCAAAGGCUUCCACAACCCGUCGCUGCUCAACGGCGCGGCAGCGGCGAACCGCGGACACACGCAGUAUCACCGUAACUCCUGGCGACGCAGGAAGAGAGACAGCCUGCCAGUGAGCCUGAGCAGAUAGACCCCCCCCACCGCCACGCCCAGCAGAUUUGUGUGGGUGGGAAGGUCACCUGCGGGAUGUGGGGGCUCCUCUGGCGACAUCACCUCCAGUAUUGUCUUCCUCGUCAGUGUUUGCUGGGGGGUGGCGCCGCCCACGUCACUUAAGCUGGUCCGCAGCUGUCGGUGGUGCCGUGUCACCUUUCUGUUUUUAUACCACAAUUUUUUUCUUUAGUGCAAUAUAUAUAUAUUUUUUUUCUAAAUUUAUUUAAGUUUGUGUAAAAAUAAACACAUUUUAUACAGUUAUUUUAUUUUUGUAACGGUUAAAGUUUUGCUAGCGGGACCUCAUGUUCAUCACUGUUUUUUUUUUUUUUUUGGUUUGUUUGUUUGUUUGUUUGUCAUUAGGGUGCUGUGGACACCAGAUUUAACACCCCACCCCCCCACCCGUAUGAAUGUGACCCUACUGGUGAGAUGAUUGCAAAAAAAAAAAAAAAAAAAAAAAAGGGAAGGCUCUUACUUUAAAAAAAAAUCUCCAUAUGUCGAUUCUGGUUUAGUCCUUCAGCCCGGUCAGCAUUUUAGUGGGAAACGGGGCUGCACCCCCCCGGCAUUCUGUGGAGGAAAAUGAGGAAGAGGGUCCAGUUUGGGCCGAAAAGCGACGAGGAAAAUUUCUGAAUAUUUCCGGAUAAAAUAUCACUUACUUCUGAUGCUUUUGGGAGAGUAAAGGUCAACAAUCUGGGGUAGUUUGUUGCCAUGGAAACGUCAGGGGGGAGGGGAAGGGGAAAGGGGGGAGGUUCUUCCCGAUCCGAGGACCCUUGUGACGAGGAAUUUGAUUUUGAUUCCGUUAAGGAAUCUUGUUUAUAGUUGAUUGCCAGGUACUUCCUGUAAAUAUUUGCUUCGUUCGUGUCGACUCGCGUGUGAGGGACACGGUCUGUGAGCGCACUCGUAUACAAACCCGUCCGCGCCGGGACCCCCCUUUCCAACCCCAGAACACACGCCGGCAUUAUUACUAUGCAAGUGGAUUACUCUGUGUGAAGACUUCCUACUUGGGGACUGGUUGGGCAAACCGCUCUUCGGACUCGACUAUCAAGACUCGAGCCAAAACUGUAACCCCUCCCCCCCAUCUCCUUUGUAAGUGUUUUUGACCCCUCCCCCAUAAGUUUUAA
rnacentral:lncRNA from 1 species